rnacentral:rRNA from 1 species
UACAGAGGGGGCAAGCGUUGUUCGGAAUUACUGGGCGUAAAGGGCGCGUAGGCGGCCUUCUAAGUCGAACGUGAAAUCCCCGGGCUCAACCCGGGAACUGCGUCCGAUACUGGCAGGCUUGAAUCCGGGAGAGGGAUGCGGAAUUCCAGGUGUAGCGGUGAAAUGCGUAGAUAUCUGGAGGAACACCGGUGGCGAAGGCGGGUCUCUGGGCCGAUACUGACGCUGAGGAGCGAAAGCGUGGGAGCAAACAGG